rnacentral:snRNA from 1 species
AUCGCUUCUCGGCCUUUUGGCUAAGAUCAAGUGUAGUAUCUGUUCUUAUCAGUUUUAAUAUCUGAUACGUCCCCUAUCUGGGGACCAUAUAUUAAAUGGAUUUUUGGAACAGGGAGAUGGAAGAGAGCUUGCUCUGUCCACUCCACGCAUCGACCUGGUAUUGCAGUACUCCAGGAACCGGUGCACCUCUC